AUACGUAGGGGGCGAGCGUUAUCCGGAAUUAUUGGGCGUAAAGAGUACGUAGGUGGUUUCCUAAGCGAGGGGUUUAAGGCACUGGCUUAACCAAUGUUCGCCCCCCGAACUGGGGAACUUGAGUGCUGGAGAGGAAAGCGGAAUUCCUAGUGUAGCGGUGAAAUGCGUAGAUAUUAGGAGGAACACCAGUGGCGAAGGCGGCUUUCUGGACAGUAACUGACACUGAGGUACGAAAGUGUGGGGAGCAAACAGGAUUAGAUACCCUGGUAGUCCACACCGUAAACGAUGAGCACUAGGUGUCGGGCUCGCAAGAGUUCGGUGCCGCAGUUAACGCAUUAAGUAUUCCGCCUGGGGAGUACGGCCGCAAGGUUGAAACUCAAAUGAAUUGACGGGG
rnacentral:rRNA from 1 species